AACGAACGCUGGCGGCAGGCCUAACACAUGCAAGUCGAGCGCGCCCUUCGGGGUGAGCGGCGGACGGGUGAGUAACGCGUGGGAACGUGCCCUUUUCUACGGAAUAGCCUCGGGAAACUGAGAGUAAUACCGUAUACGCCCUUUGGGGGAAAGAUUUAUCGGAAAAGGAUCGGCCCGCGUUGGAUUAGGUAGUUGGUGGGGUAAUGGCCUACCAAGCCGACGAUCCAUAGCUGGUUUGAGAGGAUGAGCAGCCACACUGGGACUGAGACACGGCCCAGACUCCUACGGGAGGCAGCAGUGGGGAAUCUUAGACAAUGGGGGCAACCCUGAUUGAGCCAUGCCGCGUGAGUGAUGAAGGCCUUAGGGUUGUAAAGCUCUUUCAGCUGGGAAGAUAAUGACGGUACCAGCAGAAGAAGCCCCGGCUAACUCCGUG
rnacentral:rRNA from 1 species